GCCCUCAUAGCUCAGGUGGAUAGAGCGACUGCCUCCUAAGCAGUAGGUCCCAGGUUCGAGUCCUGGUGAGGGCG
rnacentral:tRNA from 1 species